rnacentral:rRNA from 1 species
ACUUAGCGGCGGACGGGUGAGUAACACGUAGGCAACCUGCCCUCAAGACUGGGAUAACUACCGGAAACGGUAGCUAAUACCGGAUAAUUUCUUUCCUCUCCUGAAGAGAGAAUGAAAGGCGGAGCAAUCUGCCACUUGGGGAUGGGCCUGCGGCGCAUUAGCUAGUUGGUGGGGUAACGGCUCACCAAGGCGACGAUGCGUAGCCGACCUGAGAGGGUGAACGGCCACACUGGGACUGAGACACGGCCCAGACUCCUACGGGAGGCAGCAGUAGGGAAUCUUCCGCAAUGGGCGAAAGCCUGACGGAGCAACGCCGCGUGAGUGAUGAAGGUUUUCGGAUCGUAAAGCUCUGUUGCCAGGGAAGAACGUCCGGUAGAGUAACUGCUACCGGAGUGACGGUACCUGAGAAGAAAGCCCCGGCUAACU